UACAGAGGUCUCAAGCGUUGUUCGGAUUCAUUGGGCGUAAAGGGUGCGUAGGUGGCGCUGUAAGUCGGGUGUGAAAUUUCGGAGCUUAACUCCGAAACUGCAUUCGAUACUGCGGUGCUUGAGGACUGGAGAGGAGACUGGAAUUCAUGGUGUAGCAGUGAAAUGCGUAGAUAUCAAGUGGAACACCAGUGGCGAAGGCGAGUCCCUGGACACUUCCUGACACUGAGGCACGAAAGCUAGGGGAGCAAACAGG
rnacentral:rRNA from 1 species